rnacentral:rRNA from 1 species
ACGCUCGACACCUACGGAGGCAGCAGUGGGGGAUAUUGCACAAUGGGGGGAACCCUGAUGCAGCAACGCCGCGUGAGGGAAGAAGGUUUUCGGAUUGUAAACCUCUGUCUUUGGUGACGAUAAUGACGGUAGCCAAGGAGGAAGCUCCGGCUAACUACGUGCCGGCAGCCGCGGUAAUCUGAGCGGGCUGGCAAGGC